rnacentral:lncRNA from 1 species
GAAAGAUCAUUUUAAUUGUUUCAUAAGAUAGUAGUUAAUAGUAGAAAUGGCUCUCAGAACAUUGGUAUUAACCAUUGCAAUAAUGGCUUUGUUAUCUUCAAUGAGCCAUGCAUUUGAUCCUAGUCCUUUGCAGGAUAUUUGUGUUGCUGUUGACGACUCCAUGGCUGCUGGUAUAUGAUCAAAUAAUUAUUUUGAAUGCAAAAAUCAAUCUGGUCUUAGCAAUUUUUAUGAAUAUUUGUGUGCUUCUCUCCUAUCCUUUUUGUUUGUUUUUUUUAAUUAUUGAAACUUCCUCUGCAGUUUUUGUGAACGGAAAAAUUUGCAAGGAUCCAAAGCAGGUUAUGGCAAAUGAUUUCUUUAAAUCAGGUCUAAACAUACCUGGAAAUACCUCAAAUCAACUUGGAUCUGUUGUAACUGCUGUGAACGUUGGCAACUUACCUGGACUCAACACUCUGGGCAUUUCUUUAGCGCGCAUUGAUUAUGCACCAUAUGGUCUCAACCCACCUCAUACACAUCCUCGAGGAACUGAGAUUCUAGCUGUUCUUGAGGGCACACUCUACGUUGGCUUUGUCCUUUCAAACCCUGGUCCAAAUAUGAAGAACAAGCUCUUUACCAAGAUUUUAAAUCCUGGAGAUGUGUUCGUUUUCCCAAUAGGUCUCAUUCAUUUUCAGUUUAAUGUUGGAAAGACUAAUGCUGUUGCAUUUGCUGGACUCAGUAGUCAAAAUCCAGGAGUCAUCACUAUCGCAAAUGCAGUAUUUGGUUCAGAC